CCCAGACUCCUACGGGAGGCAGCAGUGGGGAAUAUUGCACAAUGGGGGAAACCCUGAUGCAGCAACGCCGCGUGAAGGAAGACGGUUUUCGGAUUGUAAACUUCUCUCAAUAGGGAAGAAAGAAAUGACGGUACCUAAAUAAGAAGCCCCGGCUAACUACGUGCCAGCAGCCGCGGUAAUACGUAGGUGGCGAGCGUUGUCCGGAUUUACUGGGCGUAAGGGAGCGUAGGCGGACUUUUAAGUGAGAUGUGAAAUACUCGGGCUCAACUUGAGUGCUGCAUUUCAAACUGGAAGUCUAGAGUGCAGGAGAGGAGAAUGGAAUUCCUAGUGUAGCGGUGAAAUGCGUAGAGAUUAGGAAGAACACCAGUGGCGAAGGCGAUUCUCUGGACUGUAACUGACGCUGAGGCUCGAAAGCGUGGGGAGCAAACAGGAUUAGAUACCCCCGUAC
rnacentral:rRNA from 1 species